GUAGGGUGCAAGCGUUAUCCGGAAUCAUUGGGCGUAAAGAGCUCGUAGGCGGUUCAGCAAGUCGGCUGUGAAAUCCCGAGGCUUAACCUCGGAACUGCAGUCGGUACUGCUGUGACUAGAGUCCGGUAGAGGAGAAUGGAAUUCCCGGUGUAGCGGUGAAAUGCGCAGAUAUCGGGAGGAACACCAGUAGCGAAGGCGGUUCUCUGGGCCGGUACUGACGCUGAGGAGCGAAAGCGUGGGUAGCAAACAGGAUUAGAUACCCUGGUAGUCCACGCCGUAAACGUUGGACACUAGGUGUGGCGUUCCGACCAACGGGUGCCCGUGCCGAAGCUAACGCAUUAAGUGUCCCCGCCUGGGGAGUACGGCCGCAAGGCUA
rnacentral:rRNA from 1 species